rnacentral:lncRNA from 1 species
UUCAUUUUUCUUUUUAUCUCCUGGGAGAUCUGGAAGAUAUGCAAAGAGUAGCUUGAGAAGGAACACACACACACACACACACACACACACACACACACACACACACAGAGUUUACCAAGAGAGGUCACUGCAACAUCCUCGGUGGAUGAAUUCACAAAGGCGUGAGACAAGAUUCAAGGUGAAAUUAACUCUGUUAGAGGAGCAAAACUGAGAACAUCAUACAAAAAUGACCCAGUAUGUUUUCUGAGAGUGCAAAACCCAUCUUGCUGUCUAUCCUUGGAGGACACAAUCCAUCCUCACUUGGUUUGUACAAGGUACCAUCAGAGCUGUAAGCUCACAAAGACUUACUGUGACUAUGAAAAUAAGCACAUUAAAAUCACAAAACACUCUGACAGAAAAACAUAAAUCUUGAUUGGCUGUCAUCAGUCCCCUGAAGUGUCUGAUGCUGGCAGAACAGGUCUUUUAAAACAGAAGGCCAGCUGCUCAGUUACUGUAAAUCAGCAUAAGAUGUUGUGAAAAGGAAAAAACAUUGGUAGUGCUUAAAGGUUGUUUUAAGGAGAUCAGUGAAUAACUAAAUGUUUAACAUGCCCUCUGGAAUGUGUAUAAAACAGACUCUGAUUUGCAGAGAAGAAGAUUUAAAUUACAUAUUUUAAAAAAAUAUUAUCUAGUGGCUAAGCAGAAGCAGGUUGUGUUGCUAAUCUCCUUCACUGGGAGUUCGUAAGAACUGAUCAGACUAACAUCUGCCACACAUGGAUUCUGGAUUCUGCUCCAGUGGAGAGGCUAAACUGUGUGUGCUCUGGAGAUCUCUUCAGUGCUUACAAAGUGUGAAGAAAUAGAGCUCAGAAUUGAAACAGUUAUGGAUUUUCAAAACACCUUUGUCUCCUUGCUUCCUGUUCAAGACAGACCGCAAGACUCACAGAUUGGUUCAAUCCCAUGUGUUAAUCCCUGUGUUAUUCAGCCUGCACUUAAUUUCUGAGCGCAGCUAAGAGACAGGCAGUACAUGUAAAACAUUCUAGCAAAUGUAGUUAAAUCAAUCCAGUAAAAUUUUAAUAUUCCUUUUCAUGCUAAAGUGAGCUAUAACUGCUAUUUAACUUCAUAGUUAACUACAUUAUAUAAGUAUCUAUUUAUUACUGUAUAACUAUGAACAUAUAAUUAUAAAAUUGUAUAUGGUAGUU